UCACUUUCGCUUCUUCCCUGCUGAAAGAGGUUUACAACCCGAAGGCCGUCAUCCCUCACGCGGCGUCGCUGCAUCAGGCUUUCGCCCAUUGUGCAAUAUUCCCCACUGCUGCCUCCCGUAGGAGUCUGGGCCGUGUCUCAGUCCCAGUGUGGCCGGUCGCCCUCUCAGGCCGGCUACCCGUCGUCGCCUUGGUAGGCCAUCACCCCACCAACAAGCUGAUAGGCCGCGGGCUCAUCCUUCACCGCCGGAGCUUUUAACCCCGUCCCAUGCGGGACAGAGUGUUAUCCGGUAUUAGACCCCGUUUCCAGGGCUUGUCCCAGAGUGAAGGGCAGAUUGCCCACGUGUUACUCACCCGUUCGCCACUAAUCCACCCCGAAGGGCUUCAUCGUUCGACUUGCAUGUGUUAAGCACGCCGCCAGCGUUCGUCCUGAGCCAGGAUCAAACUCU
rnacentral:rRNA from 1 species